rnacentral:lncRNA from 1 species
UCAACCAAAACCAAAGUCAAACAUUUGAGAAGCUAUCACAAUUGGGCCCACAUUCAAAUCAUGCAUUAUGAUCAUUCCAUGAACAUUUGAAGUCAAAGUAAGGCAAAGGAAAGCAUACAAAAGUCAACAGAAUGACUUGCAUCAAAAGUCAACCCAAGCAUUUUCAAAAAUCAUCAAAUAAAUCACACUCAAUCCUAACAUCUAACAUGGUAGACAUGUAAAAUUUCAUGGCAUUU